rnacentral:rRNA from 1 species
GAUGAACGCUAGCGGCAGGCUUAACACAUGCAAGUCGAGGGGCAGCAUGAGACGGAGAUUCGUCGAAGUCUUGAUGGCGACCGGCGCAAGGGUGCGUAACGCGUGAGCAACUUGCCCGUUUCUGGGGAAUAACCGGUGGAAACGCCGACUAAUACCCCAUAGUAUCAGAUUGAGGCAUCUUUAUCUGAUUAAAGAACUUCGGAAACGGAUAGGCUCGCGUGACAUUAGCUAGAUGGCGGGGUAACGGCCCACCAUGGCAACGAUGUCUAGGGGUUCUGAGAGGAAGGUCCCCCACACUGGAACUGAGACACGGUCCAGACUCCUACGGGAGGCAGCAGUGAGGAAUAUUGGUCAAUGGUCUAACGACUGAACCAGCCAUGCCGCGUGAAGGUCACGGCCCUAUGGGUCUUAAACUUCUUUUGCAAGGGAGCAAUAGGCGUACGUGUACGUCGAUGAGAGCACCUUGCGAAUAAGCAUCGGCUAACUCCGUG